GGGAAAGAAGUGCCGUCAUCUAGCCGGGAAUACGGAAACAGCCAAAGCAGUAAACAAGAUCAGUGUGACCACUAUAAUUCAACCUUUGUCUCGGUUUCCUUCACAUUAGCAAUCAAGAAGGGGAUAACUCACAUUUGAUUAGCUAAUAUUCUUUGAAGGAAGGAUAAAUAAUAAGCUGACAAUGAAACGAAUGGUUAGAGAAGUGGAAAAAGUGAGUGAGCAAAAUACCGAAGCUUUAACUUCAAAAUCAUCCCAACCACCGCCGAAGAAGAGACGGGACCUGACACGAUGCAAGAAUGUCGUA